GCACAAGCGGUGGAGUAUGUUGUUUAAUUCGAAGAUACACGAAGAACCUUACCAGGUCUUGACAUACCAUUGACAGGCGCAGAGAUGUGCUCUCCUUCGGGCAAUGGAUACAGGUGGUGCAUGGUUGUCGUCAGCUCGUGCCGUGAGGUGUUGGGUUAAGUCCCGCAACGAGCGCAACCCUCAUUGUUAGUUACUACCAUUCAGUUGAGGACUCUAAUGAGACUGCCAACGAUAAGUUGGAGGAAGGUGGGGAUGACGUCAAAUCAUCAUGCCCUUUAUGACCUGGGCUACAAACGUACUACAAUGGCCAAUACAAAGAGAUGCGAAGCGGUGACGUGGAGCGAACCUCAGAAAGUUGGUCUCAGUUCAGAUUGAAGUCUGCAACUCGACUUCAUGAAGGCGGAAUCGCUAGUAAUCGCGGGUCAGCAGACCGCGGUGAAUACGUUCCCGGGUUUU
rnacentral:rRNA from 1 species